AUCCAGCUGACGAGUUCCAAAUAGGACGAAACGCGCGUCCUGAAU
rfam:Schistosoma mansoni strain Puerto Rico chromosome 5, complete genome